rnacentral:rRNA from 1 species
CACGUAGUUAGCCGGUGCUUAUUCUUCCGGUACCGUCAUCCCCCCGACUGUAUUAGAGCCAAGGAUUUCUUUCCGGACAAAAGUGCUUUACAACCCGAAGGCCUUCUUCACACACGCGGCAUUGCUGGAUCAGGCUUUCGCCCAUUGUCCAAAAUUCCCCACUGCUGCCUCCCGUAGGAGUCUGGGCCGUGUCUCAGUCCCAGUGUGGCUGGUCGUCCUCUCAGACCAGCUACUGAUCGUCGCCUUGGUAGGCCUUUACCCCACCAACUAGCUAAUCAGCCAUCGGCCAACCCUAUAGCGCGAGGCCCGAAGGUCCCCCCGCUUUCAUCCGUAGAUCGUAUGCGGUAUUAAUCCGGCUUUCGCCGGGCUAUCCCCCACUACAGGACAUGUUCCGAUGUAUUACUCACCCGUUCGCCACUCGCCACCAGGUGCAAGCACCCGUGCUGCCGUUCGACUUGCAUGUGUAAGGCAUGCCGCCAGCGUUCAAUCUGAGCCAGGAUCAAACUCUAC